rfam:Anopheles christyi strain ACHKN1017 cont1.574, whole genome shotgun sequence.
ACUACGGCUUUUUUUAAAGCUAUGACACACAUAAGGCAAAACUGUUU